AUUUAUUGAAUUUUAUUCUUAACUUCACUAUCAAUCAUUUUACUUAUAUAUGUUUCUCACAGUGAAACACACAUACUUAUUAUUUUCUCUAUUUCUUUUUCUAAGUUUCACCACUAUUAUUACUUUGUCCCACUCUUUCAACGAUUAGUUUUUGCUAGGCAAUCCUGGACGCGACACCGAUCUAUGUGACUCACACAAACGUUUCUUGCGUGUAAUCAAAUGGAUGUGUUUAUAGCGUCACACUACUUCGCGUUCAGCGUAACAAAUAUUUACAUAGCGAGUCGAAAGAGCAGGCGGUAUAGUUGUCACAGCCGGCUUUUCGGACUUGGGUACAAAAUUCGUUUAAGUCGUCCUUCACGGGGAUAUACGUUAUGGCAGCGGAGGAUACGGAUCCCAAGAGGUUUAUGUACCAAAACCGACACGCGUCUAGUAAAACAGUGGAUUGUCUCCGAGCAGCAGCUGUAAUCUUUCGGUUAGAAGUGGUUGGGAGAGGUUAUACGAUCGCUCAUAGUGAAUAUUAUAAAGAUCGUAAUUGUGGUUAUGAGAUAAGGGAAUUUAUUUUAAGAUGAAUUAUCUAAUUAAUUUUUGCAUUAAUUUCAUUGAAUUAUGAAUUAAUUUAAUAAAAAUAU